GUUGGACAGAGGGAGCGGGAAGCAGAAAGACGUUAUCGUCGGGAGAGUGCACAACAAGACAUUGUUAAGUUGUAACAAAUAACUUUAUCAUCAAAGGUCGACUACCCGUGGUCCUGAUAUUAACUUCUUGUGAACUGCAAAAGAUAUGAUUCUGGGCUGGGCCUGCUGAGUGAUGCUGCUCUGCCUUGCUUUGCUGUUGGAUGCUAAGUGUGCUAACAUCAAAGAGAGCAUCUGAAGACUGCAUAUCCACACGUUAUCGCUCUCCCUAACCCCUCAUAAGGAUUCGCCUCACCGCACCCAAGCAACGACACAGGCCUGCAACUGGUUGAAGGCCCCAGAUCCCCCAAGACUGUCGACCUGCACAAGACUGGACUGAACUACAAGACCAGCGAGAAUAAGCUUGAUCCCUUCACUUCCACCCUCGUGCCAUCUAAAAGCAUAGCGGCUGCGGCAGGAAGAGCCUGGAUUAUUCCUCUUCCUCGUCUUCCACGCUUCUCUCUACCAUGCCAAGAAGGGUGAGCGAUGUUGCUUCGCUCCUGAUGUACCUUUUUUGCCUGGCAAUUAUUGAGUAGAUUUCAAUUAUUUCUUUUGCAGUGCCUCCAUUUUUUCUUCACUGUUGUUUUUCAUGCCUAUGAGUACCUUAUUUUUUCCAUUCUGCCUGUGUACCCUGCGCUCUCCGUGAGUUGUUAAAGACCAAAUCUUCCUCUGUCUCUGCAAUCCUACACAAAACGUCGUCGUCAUAAUAUAAAUGCAAUUCUGUCUUAAACAGUCUCUUCCCAUGAGUUAAGGCAACGGUGUCCAAAGUGUGGCCCAGGAUCCAUUUUCGCCCGGUGGCUGUGUUUUUAUUGGCCUGCAGCACAUUCUAAAAAAUAUAAUUUAACAAGAACAUUUUUUGGAAAAUUAGGUUGUGGAAAAAGAAUGUUACAAGAAUAAAGUCCAAAAAGUCAUAAUUAUGAGAAGAAAAUUGAUAUAGUUGGAAAAUUAAAAAAAAAAUGCAGAAAUGUAAAAAAGAGGUGUAAUUUUACAAGAAUAAAGUCAAAAUAUUAACAGAAAAAGUUGUAUUCUAAUCAGACAAAAAAUGCAAUUUUCUGAGAAUAAACUAGUAAUAUAAUGAGGAAAAAUGUCAUUUUGGUAACAUAGAGCUGAAAUAGUAAAGAGAAAAUGUGUGUUCUCUAAGUAUGAAUAUAUUACGACAAACAAAACAAAAUAGAGUCGUAGUCAUAAUAUUACGAGAAGAACAUUUAAAAGAUGACUUAAGAAGAAAGCUGUAAUACUUGCAACUGGACUGAACAAAGGGACAAUAAAUGUAAGGUUGUACUGAAAAACCCCCCGAAAACAACCAAAGCAAGAUAAACAGUUUUCAGGGUGAAAAUAUAAAAGUAAACACAAAGUAAUCGAAAGCGGAAAAUCCUAUUCUGGUACCCAGAGGUGUAAUGUUUAUGGUUGGUAAUUUAAAAUGAACAGCCAAUUAUUUUAGUCCUUAAACAAGUCCCGGUUGAUUUGUAAUGAAGAGUGGGUGUCCUUCCUGCGCCUAAUGCCAGACUUCUCAAUGCCUCAGUUUGCUGGGUGCCAACAGGCGCUAAAACUGUAUAAAAGAAUACCACCCUCCAUCCAACACCCUCCUUUUCCCAACCCCUAAUGGCACUUUGAGAGACGUCAUUAUUUAUCACCGUUGAAGGCGCCUUUCAAUUAUACCUCAGCCUAUCUUUCGCCCCACUGUUGGGGAUUGUAGAUUGACUACCUUUAGCCUCUAUCAUAGAUAUUUCAAGGUAGAGGUUCACUGAGGCUGCACGGGCAACAAUGUAGGGGCAAUUUGCAGCUCUAUUCAUAACUUGAGCCAGAGGUGUGGUGGGCGAGGGUGAUGGAGUGAAGUGACAGCAAAGAGGUGUAGACAUGGAUGAGCGUUCUUGCCAAGAGGGCUCACUUUAGAAGCCCAGCAGAGCUCCUCUCAGCACGCCAAGUCUUUCACGUCCCGCAAGACUAUCAAAUUGGACCCUAAUGCAAAGGCUGACAAGGUGUUGAUCCCUCAUUCCUCAAGCGUGUGUGCUGCGUGAACAACAAUGUGAAAAAGGAAGCCCUGGGAAUCCACCAACUGCUUUUUAAACAGGCACAGACUCGCUGUGCAGUUAAAUAUGUGACAGUGUUAAUAAAAACACAUUUGAAGGUUUAGUGGGCCAGAUUCAGGGAAUUGGAUUACCGCGACAUUCAUUUGCUGAAAGGAACCAAAUGAAAGGUUUCUCGUCAUAGCUCGUCAAGCAUCAAAUAAAUGGAUGCUUGGUAAACAACUGUUCAUUGUAAAUUGGUAAUGAUUACAGAUUACUGCCACAGCUACAAUACUACCCCAUGAAAUCGUCUUGACUGGAGAUGGAACUAAUAUUAACCUCUUAAACCCUGGGCGUAACGGCCAUUUUGCUCAAAAAAGACAGCAAACAUUUUUCUCGUCAUCUACACGGGUAUUCGACUAAAAUUCAGAUAAGUCCAAAUACAGAGCAUUAUGUUUCAAGAUGGGACUAUAUGUCUGAUGUUGAGGUGACAAAGACAUGGAGAUGAAGAUUGGUCGGGGUCAAAGACUACAUGGUACUUGUAAAUUACCUUAGAGUUGCUUAUCUUUCAAUUAUUGUUUUAAAUCGGCUUCUUAAUGAGAGUAAAGGGCUCUUUGGAGCCUUUUUUUGUGUGUUUGUUCGUCUGCACUGUCGGCGAGGUAGUGGUCCGUACCACAAACACCGAAAUUAGCACUUGCUUCGUUCUCCAGACAAGCUCUACCCGGGGCUGCUCACAGCAUGUGUUAGCUUACAAUGCACUGUUCUCGUCAACGGCAGGUAGCUCAGUCCCUGCUCUCGUGUGGUUCUCCUGGCAUCACAGCAGUACGCGGGGUACUCACAGCAUGUGUCCGCUUAAAGCACUUCCCUUGGCGGGCGGCUAUUGUGCUUGCUUCGUUCAUUGGGGUCGUAAGCCUUCGUCUUUUGGAAAAGAAAACAAACCUACACUAUCACUCGAACACUGUGAACAGCAAGUGGCAACACAACGUUUUGGCAAGACUAGUGUUUUUAUGAAAAAUAUACCGAACCAAGCUAGCGUUUGUUUACAAUCCUCCUACUUCACCGAAACGCCUCCUUCUGACGAGCUACAACCAAAAUGGCGGCUCGGGACAUACAAAAAUUUUAUUUUUACUAAUGUAACGUUCACUUUCAAAAAAACUAACGACGUAGAACAAAAUCCCCUCAGCCUUUGUCACGGAAGUGGCGCCACCGAAGCAUUUUAUAUAUAUAUCGAUUCUCAAAUUAAAAUAUCAAUACCUUCGGGUUCUUUUUAUCUUAACCCGUAAUAAUGUCAUCAUCAUUACGGGUUAAGAUAAAAAGAAAGAUAUAUUUUAAAAACAGAACGAUUUGAUACAUUUUGAUACAGUCCACAAGCAAUAUGAUACCAUUUGUUGAUGUAGACAUUAUAAAAUAAAGAAGCCAAUUCUAUAAAAGUGGUUUUCUUAGAGUAUUCUCAAAAAUUGUAUGAAAGAGCACAUCGUGUCCCCAAUCAUACUGUAAGGCGGGGGUCCCCAGCCACUGAGCCGCAGGAAACAUUCUGGCACAAUGAUAAAAGAAAAACUUCAAACAAUAAAAUAAAUUGUAAAUAACCACAUCAAAUUUUAUGUAAAGGGAUAUCAAUUUUGGAGAUUAUUUUAUUAAAAAAACAAUAUCCAGUUAGAAAUCCCACUGUUUUUGCAUGUGCUGAUACUAUGUGGGAAUGCAUAAAAGUAACAUUUGAUGACCGCAUUGAGUGCUAAUGUGCAUAUUAGCACAUUAAGGUGCACUUCUCUUAAAAACAAAGUCCAGGCUCGUACUGGUGGAUGGUGGCUCUGUAUUCGUUUAGUGCUUUAAUUUGAUGUUGUUCUUGUCAUAGUUUUACACAAUACAUAAUAAAUAAGAUAAAUUAGGUGUACGCAUGUUUUGCUGAUUUGUUGAAAAUCUUUCCCGGUGACUAUCUAGUGCACUGCUAAUGCUAGCUAAUGCAGUUUAGAUCCACUCCCGUCUUCAGUCAUGGUAACAUUGGCACAAGCCCCCAAAUAGUCUGUAACUAGCAGCUCGUAACCCAAAUUUUAGCUUGAAGUUCAAAGCAAAAAAUCAGCUGAGAAACGGCUCGCAUCUAAAAAAAAGACUCAUUAGUUGGGACACUCGUAUGCCAAGGUACCACUGUAUAAAUGACAAUUUAAAAAAAUACCGGCAGUGCUCCACUACCUUCUCACUUCUCUCAACGUACUCCCUGACAACUCAAUUCAGCAGCGACAGAAGAUACAAAGAACUUUGCCUUUUGUGUGAGAGCCAUCUGCCUGGUCUUUGAAGCUAAACCUACUAUUCAAAAUACUCUUUUCUUCGACCAUUUCUGCUCAAUAUUUGCUCGCGCUUGUGGCUCCACAUCCAACGCUGCGUUUCCUCAAACUACGGCGUGGUCCGGUGAUCAAACAGGACAUGCACACGUUAAUCGUGCGCUAAAAGAAAUAGUGCUGUUAAAGGAAAUUUACGUUAACGCAUUAUUAACUUUGACAGCCCUAACAAAAACAUAUGAAUUGUGUGCAAUGACAAUAAACAUCUACAGUACCUAUCUAUUACGUCAAGGACAAAUCUAACUAUACAGUUCGUCAGAUCAGCUUUGGUUGAGUUAUUACUUUUUCAGUGAUGUGCAGAUCGAUACUGAAAUUGGUACUUCCGAUACCAGCUCUUCAUGCUUUAAAAUCGAUUCUCAAAUUCAAAUAUCAAUACUUUCGAUACUUCAGUCAUAUGAGGUAAUGUAAAGUAGUAGGGAGGUAAAGUAGGUAAAGUAGUUCUUCAUAAUUAAUCAUUUAUUUUAAUGGUUUUAUUUUACUUAUUUUCUUGUUUAUUGUUUAAAAUACCACUUCCACAUAUUUUAUAAGAUGCUGUCCUAUGUUUUUUCUGUUGUUGUACUGUAUAUUAGCUUGGCUGUGUUGUAAAUCACCCCCUACCUCAAUAUACUUCAGGGUAAAUAAAUAAGUGACUUCAAUUAAAUAAUUAAUUUAAAUAAUCUAUAUAAUUAUAUUAGCUGUAUUAUUCAUUUAUUUAAAUUAAUACCUUAUUUAAUUAAUACAUUUAUUAGUUGUCUUGUAUUCUUUAUGCUAUGAUAUGAAAUACACUACUUUUUAAAAUUUACCAGAGACAUGAGGUGGAUUUGCACAAAGUAUCGAUACCAGGCUGAACUUUACUCUGUGUCGUAUAUCAAAAGAAAUCAAUGGUAUCGCACAUCACUACUUUUUUGUUGUUUCUUUUUAAAUCUAAAUUUAAGAAAUAAUAGAGAUAAAAAGGCUGUUGUCGGCAUCGGUCUUGAGAAUGAGGAAGUUAUCGAUAUUCGCUUGGAAAAAAAUGAAUGAUCAUGCAUCCCUAAUGAUGAAUGAAAGGGAUAAAUGAACAUUUAAGGUCGUUUUACCUUCAAUGAAGGGGUGACUGCUCGCAAAGGCACGGACACCAACUUCAUUUUAUAUUAUUACAUACACAUUAUAUACGAGGUGAGCAUUUACCUGCCCCUUGUACUGGGGUCUGACGCUUUUAAAAGGCUAAAAAGCAAUCAGCCGCAAAGAUCCACCCUUAGACACUUCAAAUUCGACCAAAACAGCACGAAAAGCCUCUAACCCCUUCAAUUUGUAAUACUAUAAAUAGAUACAAUUCCAAUCCAGAGCUGAUUAAUUUGAAUUUCAAGCCCCGUUAUUUGACCAGUGUGAAACGUGGUGGCAAGUCCACAUUCAAAAGGCUAUUUGUUUUCCCACACAAUGGCUGUUGGAUAAUAGUCAUGCAGGGCUGGGGUAGGACGGAGCCAAAGUGACCAAGUUAUCUGCCUUUGCCAGUCUUGGUCUGUGCCUCUUCAUUAUGAAUUAUAGAUUAGAGAUGAGAGCCAGAGUUUGCCUUGCAGGGAAGGUGGCUAGAAAGCUGCUGGAGGUCAACACAUCAGUCUUUUACCAGUCGACCUAAUCUGAAACACUUCAAGAGGCAUCCUCAAAACACCCUCAGCAGGACAAUUCAUAACAGGCAAUUUAUCACAAGCAACAAGGACACGGCUGUUCAAUAUACCGUUCCACUUUGUUCCACUUUUCAGCUUUGGUCAGCUAUUUUUGGUGUUCAGGUGUCUAAGCUGUACUACACUUAGUGUCCCGGUUCAGAGUAGUGCCAUCCCUUUUGUGUGUUAUGGUGACAUCUGAGAUGGUACGUAGAUUCAUCAAUGUGUAAAAUGGAAGAAAAUACAGUCAAUGAUCUGCACCAUUUUGGUGUCUGAGAUAUUCACAGCUCGCAUGAAACUGACAACGUAUUCAAAUAAAACCUUACUUUACGAUCCUCCCUAAAAAGCGCUGGCAUGCAUGACGCCUCCUGAGACCGCAGCGUCAGACUGGUUCUUGUGAGAUAUAAUCAAAUAAUCGCAUUUUGCUUUGUCUUUGCCACCAGCCUCAACACGGAGUGUGUCAUGGUCUGCAUCCCAACUAACUCUGCUUUUGGUCAGUUCCUGCUUCCUGUUCUCUGCUCCUUGUUUCAGGCAGCUCAGUCUGGUGAUUUGGGGCGAGCAGCAAGGCAGGUGAACACAACUGACAAUCAUCGUCACCAGGGUUUGGCAUCGUUUCGAUUUGAAUGAUCCAGGUCCCGACUCCUCGUUUCGAUUCCGAUUCCUAACGAUUGUCGAUUCCGAUGCUUUUAAGAGGGAGGGCACAAAAGUUUGCAUGGUUUAAAUGAGGGCGCUAACCAGAAUUCUUUUUGGAUCAAAUGUCUGAACUUCUCCAUGAAUUGUUGAAUGAUGUGAACCCUUACUAGUGUAUGAAUUUCUUACAGGGCUGUACUCAACCAGUAUAUAUACUCAAGGAAAAAAGAAAGCCCCCGUUUAACGACCGCUGCACAAGACCGCGCCAACCGGCUGGCACAUCUCCGUGACAGGUUCCGGCCCGCCACCAGGUCCGCAGCAGAGACCAUUGGGACACACCACAGGCCAGUGUCGUGAACUAUUGGCAGUAUAAUGCAAUUCCUGUAACUUCUGGUUUGGGGGGUGCUCUAUUGUUUGGUUGUGUUAUUGGACUCGAAAAUGUGUAAACGCCACAUGAGUUGGCCUGAGGAUUAGAAAUGGAUGUAGGGUUCAUAUAAAACUGGCAGGUCUCACAAAUAAAAUUAUUCUGCCCCCCCAAAACUCCCAAAAGUGUGUAAAUACCAAACCAUUCAACCUGAAUAUAAAUGUUGUAAAGUUUCUGUUUGCAGGAGUACACUUUCACAAAAGAUGUUUACUUUUGAAAAGUAGUAUACUUUGUUUGCUGCCUCAAUGUUGAUGUAAGCUAUUUUUUAUGACACCCUUAUUUUGUUAACACAAACAAGAUAUAGCCCAAUUCUUAUUUUGAUGGCCGGAAGUGUGUUGUGAGUUGAGAAGGUCCCUUGACUGUUGCUAACAGAGACGUACUGUUCAAAUAAAUAAACUUGGUUGGCCGUACCUUUUAUUUACACCAAAAUUCCACAUCAGCUAGCAUCCUGAAACCUUCGGUUACAUUGGCAUGAGACAGACGUCAUUUAUUGUUGGGCUUUCCUAAUUCUGACCGCUUAGACCUUAGAGGAAGUCUGACGUAGCGAAUCAAAGAUCAAACAAGCUACUGUUUUAUUACACAUUCAUGGUUGUUAUGUUGACACCAUGAAUGUGUCAACAUUAAUCGUGUUGGUCGUGCACCCUCUUUUCCAUGAUAUCAUUGUGUUGCAAAUGUUGCAGUGAGCCAACCGCUCUUUUUCAUGAAGUUUAAGCCAAACUUAAGCCAAACGCUUCUUUGCUGGUGCUCGCGCCUAUGUCUUCCUUUCGGCAAAAGGGGCAUCGAAACUAGGAAUCGAAAUAAAAACAUUUGAACGAUCCCGGGAGAAUUGGAAUGUUAGUCCCGGUUCCCAUCGAUGCUUGAGACUCGAUGCCCAACCCUAAUUGCCACUCUUAACCCUGCUUCCACAAGUCAUCAGGGAGAACCUGAUGAUGGCUGUGGAAGCUGAAGAAUCUCAUUCCUCUGAACCUGAUAAUCUGGAGCCUCCCAUUGAUGGCUACUGUGUGGAAACAGAAACGGAACCACCCUUACGGCAUUCAGGCCACACGAGAAAUACACCCGACCGACUACAGUACACCAAACUUGGACAUCCUUUUCUCAAAAGUAUCAAAACCUUGCUCCAUGGCUUGAGCACAGCCUUCUCUUUUGCUCUCCGGGGCAGAAAGGCAAUAAGACACAGUACAGGACAAGACAACUUUGUUACGUAAAAAAAGUAAGUAAAAAAAGUGAAAGUGAAAGUUUGGCAAAAACUUUCGACAAAAAUCAUAAUCAUUCAAAAGCUGGGGCAUGCCAUAACUGAGGUUUAACUGUAGGUUUUAAAAUAAUAAUGGAAAAAUCUUAUUUCCAAAAUUCAGCCAUACGCAGGAAGUGGGUAUCUUUUGAGAGACCGAUAGCUCAGUCUUGGAGGAUGUACUUCAUACGUGUGCCAUUCUAGUUAUUUAUGUCUUCACAAGGGAGAAAUAAAAGUCUAACGGGUUGGGAAAUUUGUGAUACAGUCAAUGUUAUUUUAGAGCAGGCCACAACAUUUUUCAUCAGUCAUAUUCAUUUUGGAUGAGGUCCACGAUGGAGCUGAUUUAAAGUUGAUAAAUCUUCCUUUGAGUAGAGAAUUGCUCUGUGGAUAAAAACUGGAGGACAAGCUUGAUGUCCACACUUUCUGUUUCUGUUUACUCUGCAUUUAACAGGGUGACACCAUUUCUUUAUUCACUGCUCCACUGAACUCUGUUGAAACACUGUUUCGCUUUGAUGUCCUAUAUAUUUACAUGAAACAUCUGCAACUUUGCUAUAAAUCUGUUUGUCGAUGCUUGAGCGUGGAACGAGUCCAAGUUUAUUAGCAUGCAGAACCCUGCUGAACGAAGAUGAUUAAUAACAAAUCUAAAGGCGGGAAAUUAGCAUGAAAACAGUCUCCGCAUUCCAACCGAUGCAUAAAAUAGCUGCACUUAGUUUAAUGAGCUACGAUAAAAGUUGCCGUGCUGUGCGGCGGGCAGCGUCUUGAUUGAUGCUCCACAUUAGAGUUUUCUACAAGGCCCGAACAGGGUGCCACAGCAGCCUUGUCAAAGCACUGUCCUCAUUGCUUCUCGCGUGCAAGGACUCUUCUCCUGCCUUUAUACCGAGGAACCUCUAAAGCUGAACAUCCUUUAGGGUACUGCAUUUCAAAGUUUUUGGUAAAAAUGCGUGAAAAAAAUGAAUCUGAAAGUUUGAAAAGUGUGACAUCACGUGAAAUGUCAGCAUAUCACGCAAGGCCUCAGUUCAGUAAGCUUUGAAUAAUUGCUACCAUAUUUUCACUUUUGCUCCUGCCACUUUCUCCAGUUCCACUGGGGGAAAAUCAAGGGACCUCCUCCCGGGUGGGCAUGCUCGGAACACCUCGCCAAGGAGGAGUCCGAGAGGCAUCAAAACUACAUGCUGUAGCUGGCUUCUCUCGAUAUGGAGGAGCAGCAGCUCUGAACCUGUCCUCUCUUCACCACAAUGGUCCAGUACAGUGAUCGCAUUACUGCAGACACUCCAGCUUUCCCUCACUCAUGAGCAAGACCCUGAGACACUUGAAGUCUCCCACCUCUCAAGUAGUCGUGGUUUACAUUGUCAUCUAUUUUUCUAAAAUUGGUUUGCUUGAGUUUUUAGCUGACAUUCUUCUGGUUACAUAACUGGCCGAUGAUACAAGCGUAGUAGGUACCUGGAGUCGGGUUCGGAGGCUUUUAAAGGUGAACCAUAUACCUUAAAGCCGAGGUCACAACCAGUCAUAUGGGCUCUUAUGAUCGGUCUACGUACAAAAAAAACGCAAGAGAUGCACAGAGGGUACGCACCAGCCGUAAGCUGGCCGAAGACUGGCCGCAGAGGUUCUUUGUCAUGUCAAACAAAGGUUGCAAGACAUCGUACGUCUUUGUGCGCUGUCCAUAGGGGCAACAUGAAAGACACACGAACAUUUUGCUGGUGUCAGAAUUGGGCAAAACGUUAAUUUUUUUUGUACGUCGCACUUGCGGACUCCUAUGUGUGUCGUGCUCCAUACAUGCACUCCACAUACGUAAUCAGUUAUUUCAUACGUCCUCCAUACGUGUCAAGAUCUCACUCCUUCAUGGUCACCACAACUACAAACAAAAAAACGCAGGGAUUUGGGAAACGCCAAAAAUCACAUGGCCAUAAAAUAGAACAUUGGUUGUGACCUAGGCUUAAACAUACCUGUGAAUAUUCUCAUUCAUCCAGGUCAUUGCAUUCUCAGGGCAUUGAAUUAAUUGCAACUGGGCUGUUCAGGUUGUCUUAGAAGACGU